rnacentral:sRNA from 1 species
CCUCGAACUUGAGGCAAGCUAUUGCUUGAGUCUGGCGCCUUAGACCACUCGGCCAUCCGUGCU